rnacentral:tRNA from 1 species
GGUAGCUCAGUUGGUAGAGCAACUGACUUUUAAUCAGUAGGUCGUGGGUUCGAGCCCCACCCG